rnacentral:rRNA from 1 species
UACGAAGGGGGCUAGCGUUGUUCGGAAUUACUGGGCGUAAAGCGCACGUAGGCGGGUCUUUAAGUCAGGGGUGAAAUGCCAAGGCUCAACCUUGGAACUGCCUUUGAUACUGGAGAUCUUGAGUCCGGGAGAGGUGAGUGGAACUGCGAGUGUAGAGGUGAAAUUCGUAGAUAUUCGCAAGAACACCAGUGGCGAAGGCGGCUCACUGGCCCGGAACUGACGCUGAGACGCGAAAGCGUGGGGAGCAAACAGG